rnacentral:rRNA from 1 species
CGGAACCCGAAAGCCUGUCUCAGUUCGGAUUGGAGUCUGCAACCCGACUCCAUGAAGCUGGAUUCGCUAGUAAUCGCGCAUCAGCCACGGCGCGGUGAAUACGUUCCCGGGCCUUGUACACACCGCCCGUCAAGCCAUGGAAGCCGGGGGUGCCUGAAGUGCGCUGCCGCAAGGAGCGCCCUAGGGUAAAACCGGUGACUGGGGCUAAGUCGUAACAAGGUAAC